GUGUUAACUGUAAAGUGUAUAAUUGUAAAGUUUGAGUGUUAACUGUAAAGUGUAUAAUUGUAAAGUGUGAGUGUUAACUGUAAAGUGUAUAAUUGUAAAGUGUGAGUGUUACCUGUAUAGUGUGAGUGUUCACUGUAAAGUGUAUAACUGUAAAGUAUGAGUGUUACUGUAAAGUGUGAAUGUUAACUGUAAAGUGUAUAACUGUAAAGUUUGAACUGUAAAGUGUGAGUGUUAACUGUAAAGUUGUUAACUGUAAAGUGUAUAACUGUAAAGUAUGAGUGUUAACUGUAAAGUUGUUAACUGUAAAGUGUAUAACUGUAAAGUAUGAGUGUUAACUGUAAAGUGUAUAACUGUAAAGUAUGAGUGUUAACUGUAAAGUGUGAAUGUUAACUGUAAAGUGUAUAACUGUAAAGUGUAUAACUGUAAACUGUGAGUGUUUUCAUGUUGAAAUAUAAUUUUACAAUAACAACAUGCAUAAACAAAGACCAUAAACAGACCACUAAUGUUACCAAAACAUCAAUGACAUCACACCUGCUCAGACCCACAUGUUCCCACUGUUACUGUACACAUCACAUAUGUCCCCCCCCCUCAUCCGUCCUCCCCUGGAAGGUUCCGGUGCUUGUAGAACUCUAUGAAAUAUGGCCUCAAAUGGCACUGUAGAAUGUUUCUCCGUAGCCCACACAUUUUCAAUAUUUAAAUAAACAUUUGGAUUCAUCCACUGUUGUAAUGAUGUAUGAUCAUGUGAUUUCCAGUUUUUUUUAGGUCAACGUUUUCUUCUAAAUCAUUGACGAGUAAAGUAUCCCCCCCCCCCAUGGGUCUCUCAUUACACCCUUCAUAUGUCAUGUCCUGAAAUAUGCAGACAGACGGAUUUAAAAUGAAGUUUACAUUGUAAUACUUCUGACAGCCAACGUUCCAACUCCGCCCGUAUCUUUAUGACAUCAUAACAUUCCCAGAAUGCAUGGGUUAUUGAGUCAUUGUUAGUUUUACACUGAAGACAUGACUCUGCCGUUUGUGCUGUAGAAGUUGUGAAUUUUGUCUCUUGCAUCUCUUAGAAAAACAACUAUAAACUAUUGGAACCAAGACUUAAAAAGAACUGAUGUUGGCACAAGAUGGAGGGAAAGUUGGAACAUAACUAAAUGAAAGUUAAACAAAAUAUAAACGUAAUCCAGUAUAAAGUGUAUAGAAUGUAUUGGCUCUAUGCAAGGUUUAGUACACUACCGGUCAAAGGUUUUACACCUACUCAUUCAAGGGUUUUCUUUAUUUUUUACUAUUUUCUACAUUGUAGAAUAACAGUGAAGACAACAAAACUACGAAAUAACACAUAUGGAAUCAUGUAGUAACCAAAAAAGUGUUAAACAAAUCAAAAUAUAUUUUAUAUUUGAGAUUCUUAAAAUAUCCCCCCCCACCCCCCUUUGCCUUGAAGACAGCU
ensembl:lncRNA